UGAGGAAUCUUGCACAAUGGGGGAAACCCUGAUGCAGCGACGCCGCGUGAACGAUGAAGCCCUUCGGGGUGUAAAGUUCUUUCGACAGGAACGAUAAUGACGGUACCUGGAGAAGAAGCUGCGGCUAACUACGUGCCAGCAGCCGCGGUAAUACGUAGGCAGCGAGCGUUGUUCGGAGUUACUGGGCGUAAAGAGUGCGUAGGCGGCGAGCCAAGUUUGGUGUGAAAUCUCCCGGCUUAACCGGGAGGGUGCGCCGAAAACUGGUUGGCUGGAGUAUGGGAGAGGAAAGCGGAAUUCCUGGUGUAGCGGUGAAAUGCGUAGAUAUCAGGAGGAACACCUGCGGUGUAGACAGCUUUCUGGACCAAAACUGACGCUGAGGCACGAAAGCGUGGGUAGCAAACA
rnacentral:rRNA from 1 species